GCUUGCACCGGGUGAUCAGUGGCGAACGGGUGAGUAACACGUGAGCAACCUGCCCCUGACUCUGGGAUAACUUCGGGAAAUCGGAGCUAAUACCGGAUACGAGACGCACGGGCAUCCGUAGCGUCUGGUAAGAAUUUUGGUCAGGGAUGGGCUCGCGGCCUAUCAGCUUGUUGGUGGGGUAACGGCCCACCAAGGCGACGACGGGUAGCCGGCCUGAGAGGGCGACCGGCCACACUGGGACUGAGACACGGCCCAGACUCCUACGGGAGGCAGCAGUGGGGAAUAUUGCACAAUGGGCGAAAGCCUGAUGCAGCGACGCCGCGUGGGGGAUGAAGGCCUUCGGGUUGUAAACCCCUUUCAGCAGGGAAGAAGCGAAAGUGACGGUACCUGCAGAAGAAGCGCCGGCUAACUACGUGCCAGCAGCCGCGGUAAUACGUAGGGCGCAAGCGUUGUCCGGAAUUAUUGGGCGUAAAGAGCUCGUAGGCGGUUUGUCGCGUCUGCUGUGAAAACCCGAGGCUCAACCUCGGGCCUGCAGUGGGUACGGGCAGACUAGAGUGCGGUAGGGGAGACUGGAAUUCCUGGUGUAGCGGUGGAAUGCGCAGAUAUCAGGAGGAACACCGAUGGCGAAGGCAGGUCUCUGGGCCGCAACUGACGCUGAGGAGCGAAAGCAUGGGGAGCGAACAGGAUUAGAUACCCUGGUAGUCCA
rnacentral:rRNA from 1 species